GGGGGGGGGGGGGGGGGGGGGGGGGGGGGGGGGGGCGGGGGGGGGGGCGGGGGGGGGGGGGGGGGGGGGGUGGCGGCGGGCGGGGGAGGAGGGCGGGGAUAACCUACCGAUAAGGCGGGGAGAACUGCGGGAAGCCGGAGCUAAUACCGGCUAAUAGUUGGAACCGCAGGGGUCAAAGGUGAAAGACGGUCUUGGUGGCACUGAUAGAUGGAUCCGCGCUGCAUUAGCUAGUUGGUAAGGUAACGGCUUACCAAGGCAACGAUGCAUAGCCGACCUGAGAGGGUGAUCGGCCACACUGGAACUGAGACACGGUCCAGACUCCUACGGGAGGCAGCAGUAGGGAAUCUUCCGCAAUGGGCGAAAGCCUGACGGAGCAACGCCGCGUGAGUGAUGAAGGUCUUCGGAUCGUAAAACUCUGUUAUUAGGGAAGAACAUAUGUGUAAGUAACUGUGCACAUCUUGACGGUACCUAAUCAGAAAGCCACGGCUAACUACGUG
rnacentral:rRNA from 1 species